CCAGUCACAGGACACUGAGACUCAGGGUGGCAGAUGUCAAGUCCUUCAUUGUUCAAUUUGAGCUCAGAGAAGACUCACAUCCUUGGAUCCCAGACUCUUUGAUGACAGGAAGGCCAAACUAUCUCAAAUGGUUUUCAUGAAGAACUUACAGUGAGCCUACACGGAGUUGUCCAUACACAGAAGAACUGAGACCCCCCAGCCCCUGCCACUAGUGACAGCUCUCACUAACCUCCUG
rnacentral:lncRNA from 1 species